UACAGAGGUCUCAAGCGUUGUUCGGAUUCAUUGGGCGUAAAGGGUGCGUAGGCGGCGCGGUAAGUCGGGUGUGAAAUCUCGGAGCUUAACUCCGAAACUGCAUUCGAUACUGCCGUGCUUGAGGACUGGAGAGGAGACUGGAAUUUACGGUGUAAGCGGUGAAAUGCGUAGAUAUCGUAAGGAAGACCAGUGGCGAAGGCGGGUCUCUGGACAGUUCCUGACGCUGAGGCACGAAGGCCAGGGGAGCAAACAGG
rnacentral:rRNA from 1 species